UGGCGUUUCCUGGAAUUGUGCAACAUGG
rnacentral:piRNA from 1 species